AAAGUAUAAAAUUUAAUUUACAGUGACACGUGGGCCCACGAACGACCAAAAGUAUCAAAAGCGGUAAACCUACAAUUUUUGAGGAUGUAAGUCCAACUGUAGCCCUCAACAAAGUGAGCUAUCUACCGACUAUCCUGAGCCUAAAAUGGGUGGAAAUGAGGGUGGUGAGAUUAUAUAAUCCCAGUGAGUAAACAAAUACCAUCUAAAAUAUCUAAAGUUGAGUAAAUGGAGACAGAUUAAAAUAGAUUAUCAUACUGUAAUUCAUCACCUUUCAACUCAUUUCAACCAAAUAAAAUCAAUUCAUAUAAAUUGAGUAAUCAACAUGGCUUAUGAAUUUCUUAAAACUUUGGCUCGUCCCAAAAUCAUUCUCAUACUCAGUUAUCAAGGAUACCUUGGCCGAGCUAUCCCAACUGAGUCUGCCAAGACUGAUAAAAAGUUAUGUACGCAUAAAUCAUGUUUUUAUUUUGAAAACAUAGCCGCUCUUUGACAUUGGCUAAGUUCACCCUCACGUGGUGGUUUGGCGUGAAGUGAACUCUAAAGUGUUAACCUUAGGAGUUAUCCAUCCGCACCUUUCAUACUGAGGUAUGAAUAUAAUAGGGUUACCGUGCCCUCUCUAAUAGGCUAGUCCACGGAACCCGUCCACUGCAGCGACUAAUCAAUAACCCACCAAUUCAAUAAAAUUUAACAGCAUGACAUGGCAAUUUUAUCAUUAUGCAGCUUAUCAAGGCAAACAAUAGUUUAUACAUUUUCAACACAAAUACCAAUUCAACCAUUCAUGCCAAUAUUAUCAUAAGCCAUUCAAUUCAAACCAUGAUUUAUAACACAGCAAUUAGUCUCCAAUUACUCCAUUUUCAAAACCAUCAUUCAAUUUCAAGACAAUUUAUAAAAUCGUUUCAUUUAAAUACAUUUUGUUUAUCAAACAUAAAGAUUUACCAUUUGAACUCAUUUUUCAUAAAAUCACAAAAUUGGAUAAAAACCACAUUAGAUAAUUAAGACGAUAGUAAGGUUACUCACUAUUUCGGGAGUCGAAUUCUGAGUAUUCUGAUUCUUGAUCCUUGGGUACUAUCUCUUUACUUUUGCUAGAAUGCUCACCACCUAGACAUAAUGCACAAUAAACCAUUUACUACAUUUGUGCUAAAUUGUUAUAAAACAAAUUUAGGCUCUAUACUAAUGCAUGAAUGGGAUGUAAAUUGUUCGGAUUAUCGUCUAAACACGGUGUUCUACACCAAUUCAAUUGUGUACCUAAAUAAAACGGUAUUGGCCUAAUUCGAUCUAUCACUCGAUUAAUUGGCCAAUAUGUCCAAUUUAACUCCAAAUAAUUCCAUUUUUCUUCCAAUUCUCCAAAUCAUCAAACACUAAUUAAAUAACUUGAAAUAUGGCAAAUCAUCCUCACAUUUUUUCUUGGAAAAUUCGACCAUGGUGGGUGCAUCAACAUUAUAAUUUUUCCUACUUGAUUCACACACCAUAAAUCACUAAUUCCUAACCAAAUCACUUGAAAUAAAAUCAAAAUCAUCCUCAAUAUUCCACAUAGAGAAUUCGGCCAAUGAUGGGUGAUGGAAGAACAUGAAUUUUUCUUGCUUGAUUUUCAUGCUAUACAUCACCAAUCAACUAAAAACACUAAAAUACAUUGAAAUCUAACAAAAUCAAGCAUCAAAACCACUCUCUAAGUGUUCAGCGAGCAAGAUACGCAUCAUGAAAUCAUGUGAUUCAACCAUGGAAAAUGCAAAAGAUGGGAAAGGUAGAUCACAAGUCAAAAUCAAGAAAUUUUACCUUUGAUUACUUGAUUACUUGGAAUCCACCAAUUUUCUCUUGAAUUUUCACCCUAGGGUUCUUGUUCUUUCU
rnacentral:lncRNA from 1 species